UUGCUCCUUUAAUUUGUGAACGGUUGUGCUUGGAAGGUGAAUUCAGUGUGCCUAAAAUGGCGAGGGGUUUAGUCAUUGUUCAUCUUCUUUCCGUUUUCCCAGCUGGAGGAUGGAAUUGUUGGAUAGCGUAAAAACAAGACGGUAAAAAAUUUAGCUGAGCUCUCACAUCAACCUUUGAGAAUGUCACGCAGCUAUUCAACGUUUCAAGUUCAGUUAGCCUUAUUUUCUGCGGUAGCACGGGCGUAUGAUUCUGUUUAAGAGUGCAGCAUCCUGUAUCUGCCUGCAUGUCAAGGAUGGUGAGGAACACACUCCGUACUGCGUGGGGAAAGAAGUUCCGUCAUAUGAACCGUUGAUGUUGAUGGGGAAGUUGGAGCCAUAUCUGGAAAUUGAAGACACCGACUAGGUAACCCCUCAUAGCGACUACCCCGACGAGAGCUCUGAGCAAGGAGUUGCGUGCAAUGGAUAGGUAAUGACGUCAUUGUUGUGCCUGGUGGUGAUUCUAUCAUGUCCCUGGGAGACAACGCCCGCAAUCGUCACGAUUGACCCAUUUUACCUCAAUUCGAACGGUCUAGUUAUUUACCGGUUGAAUCUCAUGUCGGAAACAAUAAGCGAGUUGGGAUAUUCUUCAUCGGUGCUAAGAACAAAGCAAUACAUGUUCGCGUCGCGGCUCAUGCAUAUGUGGUUGAUUCGGUUAUUUGCGUAAGGUGACAAGGCGAAGAAUUUGAAAAAUUGCAUGAGCCUGGAGGACACAGAAACCAUCUCGAGCGGAGAGCAGUGUCGUUUUCAGAGUGACUGCGCGAUUCGUGGGAGCUGGUCGCGUGUCUAGCUUCACCCUCGCCCUCGCGGAAAUCGCGCAGGAUCGCAGGGACCCUUGGUAGGAGUCGCAGUAGCCCCUCGCUCGCGCCGUCCCGGCGACCAUAAUGACUCUCAAAGCAAAGAAAAACAAACUCAAGUAAGUCACCAACUUCCACGGCCGCUCACCGCAUUCUAAGUUUCCCGCUUUUCCCUGUGUUCGCCUUUAUUGAAUCCUGCCAUUUGUAGCUCUCGCGGUUAUUUUUGCUCGGACUUUAUUUGUAUUUUUAGCCGUUUUUUUAGUGUGUAUAUUUUAGUUAUUAUAUUUUAGCGUAUAUUUUUUAAGCCAAAACGAUUCAUGUGUACGGAAAUGUGCGUACCUAAUAUGUAUUUACCAGAUUGUUAUUGUGCGACAUCCAUUCGGCCAGUUUAGGGAUUCGUUUUAUUCAUAGUCUCACAAAUUAAGCAUGUUGUUCAUCUCCCCGAAGGUAGGAACCACUUACUUAAACGCGCACUUAAUCCUCUGUGGCAUGAAUUAAUUUUGGAUCUCAGAUUCUGGGAGACACUAAUCUAUUUUGUAGCUCGCAUAAAAAACAUAUAGCACCACAUUUUUUUUUUCAAAAUUUUAAAUUUUAGGGAAUAGCUGAUUCCAAAAAAAACUAAUGAAAAUUUGCAAAAUUAUGCCACAAAGGAAAGAUUCCAUUUUAAA
rnacentral:lncRNA from 1 species